GGUGCAAGCGCUAAUCNGAAUUACUGGGCGUAAAGCGCGCGUANGUGGUUCGGCAAGUUGGAUGUGAAAGCCCCGGGCUCAACCUGGGAACCGCAUCCAAAACUACUGGGCUAGAGUACGGUAGAGGGUGGUGGAAUUUCCUGUGUAGCGGUGAAAUGCGUANAUAUAGGAAGGAACACCAGUGGCGAAGGCGACCACCUGGACCGAUACUGACACUGAGGUGCGAAAGCNUGGGGAGCAAACAGGAUUAGAUACCCUGGUAGUCCACGCCGUANACGAUGUCGACUAGCCGUUGGGCUCCUUGAGAGCUUANUGGCGCAGCUAACGCAUUAANUCGACCGCCUGGGGAGUACGGCCGCAAGGUUAAAACUCANAUGAAUUGACGGGGGCCCGCACAAGCGGUGGAGCAUUGUGGUUUAAUUUCGAAGCAACGCGAANAACCUUACCUGGCCUUGACAUCCUGCGACUUUCAAGAGAUUGAUUGGUGCCUUCGGGAACGCAGAAGACAGGUGCUGCAUGGCUGUCGUCAGCUCGUGUCGUGAGAUGUUGGGUUAAGUCCCGUAACGAGCGCAACCCUGUCCUUAGUUACCAGCGAUUCGGUCGGGCACUCUAAGGAGACUGCCGGUGACAAACCGGAGGAAGGUGGGGAUGCGUCAAGUCAUCAUGGCCCUUACGGCCAGGGCUACACACGUGCUACAAUGGUCGGUACAAAGGGUUGCCAAGUCGCGAGGCGGAGCUAAUCCCAGAAAACCGAUCGUAGUCCGGAUCGCAGUCUGCAACUCGACUGCGUGAAGUCGGAAUCGCUAGUAAUCGCGAAUCAGAAUGUCGCGGUGAAUACGUUCCCGGGCCUUGUACACNCCGCCCGUCACACCAUGGGAGUGGGUUGCUCCAGAAGUAGCUAGUCUAACCCUCGGGAGGACGGUUACCACGGAG
rnacentral:rRNA from 1 species